AAGACAUUAGUAAAAUAAUUACAUAACUUUGUCAGAGUUAAAUUACAGGUUAAAUUCCCGUAUAUCUUA
rnacentral:tRNA from 1 species